UGCUGACCCUGUUUAAGAAAGGUAGCUGCUAAGCAAGCCAGGGGGAGCAAGUCAGUGAGCAGCAUCCUUCGAGACUUCUCAUAAAUGGUGGACUACAACUCUGUAAGCCGAAUAGCCCUUUCUUUCCCACAAGCUGUUUUUGGUCACAGUGUUUAGCAGACCGACAGAACCCAAACUGGUACACUCCUCAUCUUCCCUGUCUGGACUACCGCUCCUCCCUCUCGGCUGCUGCCAUUUUCAAUCUGCCUGAGGACCCACCCCAUCCCCCAGAUGUCUUUGGCUGCACUGAUGACUGCUCUCUCCCAGCAAUCACACUGGCUCUUGUGGACAGAGACCUGCCUGCCCUCACCCUCACUGCCAGAUCCUGAACACGAGGUGUGAGCCAGCAGCAGCCUCAUGUUCCCACCAACACCAAAGCCACCUGCUGACAGCAGCACUGCCACCACAGCUUUCCCUGACUGCGGAGUGAAACUCCUUAAAUCGUGAGCUAAGAUAAACUUUUCCUCCCUUGAGUUAUUUCUUGUCUGGCAUUUUGUCAUAGCAAUGAAAAGAGUGAGUAGCUGAUAGUCU